AUGGAGCUACCUACCUAUGAUGGCUUCCACUGCUACCACGGCUACUCCAUUUCUUUCGCAUCAAAUGCACACUACACGCAUCAUCAGCCUGCUCCUCAAGCUCAAGCUCAUGAUGACACGGGGAUCGACCACCAGUUGUUCUCCUUCUCCUUCCCCAUGGAGGCCACCUCCACCUCCUUCACUACACCUCCCGCGGCCUCAGGCGCCUGGGAGGAGAUCAUGACGGCGCCUGUCGCUUCACCGUCGUUGUUACCGCAGGGGAGCUCCAGUAGUUCACGCGAUACACCGGACUCGCCACUCAUCGGGGUGCGGAAGCGGCCGUGGGGCAAGUACGCGGCGGAGAUCCGGGACUCCACCCGCAAUGGCGCCCGAGUUUGGCUUGGUACCUUCGACACCCCACAAGCCGCCGCACUCGCCUACGACCAGGCCGCCUUCUCCGUGCGCGGCCCGGCCGCCGUGCUCAACUUCCCGGUCAAGCUCGUGCAGGAGUCGCUGCGCACGCUGGACAUCGGCUGCGCCGCCGCGGGGGACUCGCCUGCUCUCGCGCUCAAGCGGCGGCACUGCAUCCGAAAGAGAAGACCCAACAAAAAGAGGAUGUCCAGAGCCACGGCGACGGCAGCACAGGCGACGAGGCAGGAGGCAGCCACUACAUCGUCGUUGUCAACGUGCGUGUUGGAGCUGGAGGACCUUGGAGCGGACUACCUCGACGAGCUGCUCGCCUUGUCCGAGCUGUGA
rnacentral:rRNA from 1 species